rnacentral:rRNA from 1 species
AGUUAGUGGCGGACGGGUGAGUAACGCGUGGAAAACCUGCCGUAUACUGGGGGAUAACACUUAGAAAUAGGUGCUAAUACCGCAUAAGCGCACAGCUUCGCAUGAAGCGGUGUGAAAAACUCCGGUGGUGUAAGAUGGACCCGCGUCUGAUUAGCUGGUUGGCGGGGUAACGGCCCACCAAGGCGACGAUCAGUAGCCGGCCUGAGAGGGUGAACGGCCACAUUGGGACUGAGACACGGCCCAAACUCCUACGGGAGGCAGCAG